rnacentral:rRNA from 1 species
GACGAACGCUGGCGGCGUGCUUAACACAUGCAAGUCGAACGGGAUCUAGUAAAGGGAUGCCUCGGUGGAAGAUUACUAAUGAGAGUGGCGAACGGGUGAGUAACGCGUGAGCAAUCUUCCUAUGACAGUGGGAUAGCCUCGGGAAACCGGGAUUAAUACCGCAUAAAAUGGUAGAAACACAUUUCUCAACUGUCACAGAUUUAUCGGCCAUAGAUGGGCUGGCUACUGAUUAGCUAGUGGGUGAAAUAACAGCCCACCAAGGCGUGGAUCAGUAGCCGGUCUGAGAGACACAGCCGACACAUUGAAGCUAAGACGCAGUCCAGACUACUACAGGAGGCGGCAGUGGCGAAUAUAGCACAAUGGGGGGAAUCAUGAUGCAGCGACGCUGCGUGAACGAAGAAGGUAUUAGUGAAGAGAAGUACUGUCAUAUGGGGAGAUACUGACGGUACCAUAGAAAAAAGCACCGGCUAACUACGUG